UGGGGAAUUUUGGACAAUGGGCGAAAGCCUGAUCCAGCAAUGCCGCGUGUGUGAAGAAGGCCUUCGGGUUGUAAAGCACUUUUGUCCGGAAAGAAAUCCUUGGCUCUAAUACAGUCGGGGGAUGACGGUACCGGAAGAAUAAGCACCGGCUAACUACGUGCCAGCAGCCGCGGUAAUACGUAGGGUGCAAGCGUUAAUCGGAAUUACUGGGCGUAAAGCGUGCGCAGGCGGUUUGCUAAGACCGAUGUGAAAUCCCCGGGCUCAACCUGGGAACUGCAUUGGUGACUGGCAGGCUAGAGUAUGGCAGAGGGGGGUUAGAAUUCCACGUGUAGCAGUGAAAUGCGUAGAGAUGUGGAGGAAUACCGAUGGCGAAGGCAGCCCCCUGGGCCAAUACUGACGCUCAUGCACGAAAGCGUGGGGAGCAAACAGGAUUAGAUACCCUGGUAGUCCACGCCCUAAAACGAUGUCAACUAGUUGUUGGGGAUUCAUUUCCUUAGUAACGUAGCUAACGCGUGAAGUUGACCGCCUGGGGAGUACGGUCGCAAGAUUAAAACUCAAAUGAAUUGACGGGGUCAUAGCUGUUUCCU
rnacentral:rRNA from 1 species